rnacentral:lncRNA from 1 species
AAAGAUACAAAGUUUAACUCACCUUAACUCCAUUGCCAUUUUUCUUGGUAUCUCCCAACAUCAACACCAGCAAAUUGUUUUCAAGUCGGAAAAAUGGCAACCGUUACAACACAAGCCUCAGCUGCCAUUUUCCGGCCAUGUGCCUCAAAAACCAGAUUUCUCAGUGGAUCAUCUGGUAAAUUAAACAGAGAGGUCUCGUUUAAGCCCUUGACUUCUUCAUCUUACAGCUCAUUCAAAGUGGAAGCUAAGAAAGGUCAAUGGCUUCCAGGCUUAGCCUCUCCUACUUAUCUUGAUGGAAGGUACAUAUUGAUCCGCAUAAUCAUCUCAUCUAAAAAUCUUAAGUUUUUUAUAGAAUGUAUUAAACACACGUCUUCUCACCUGUGACCCUUGAUUUUAUUUUAUGGGCUAAGCAUGUGUAUUUUUUUCCUGAUAAUGAGUGACAACGUGAAUUGUACAUAGGACCUUUCACCUGUACCACAUAGAGAUCAUUUAAAUUUAAACUGUUAGAGAAAAAAAGUACAGUCUGUGCACUACACGUGCGGGAUCCGAGGUAAGGUCGACACAAGGGUCUAUUGUAGCAGCUUUACCUUGUAUUUCUGCAAGAGCCUGUUUCCACGGCUCGAACUCGUGACCUCCUGAUCACAUGACAACAAUUUUCCCAAUUACAUAAUUAUACGCUUACCAUUUUUUGCUUUUAUAACUGAGUUGUCUAGUGGUUUCUAACCUUGCUGUAAUACUCGACUGCUUGCUUGUCUUAGUCUGCCAGGAGACAAUGGUUUUGAUCCAUUGGGACUUGCUGAGGACCCAGAGAACUUGAAAUGGUUCGUCCAGGCUGAACUAGUGAACGGUCGUUGGGCUAUGUUGGGUGUUGCUGGGAUGCUGCUGCCUGAGGUUUUCACUAAUAUUGGAAUCCUUAACGUGCCCAAAUGGUACGAUGCUGGAAAAGAAGAGUACUUUGCAUCUUCAUCCACCCUAUUCGUGAUCGAGUUCAUUUUGUUCCACUACGUCGAGAUCAGAAGGUGGCAAGACAUUAAGAACCCAGGAAGUGUUAACCAAGACCCUAUCUUCAAGAACUACAGCUUGCCUCCUAAUGAAGUUGGAUACCCCGGCGGUAUUUUCAACCCACUCAACUUUGCACCAACUGCUGAGGCCAAAGAAAAGGAAAUUGCUAAUGGUAAGUCCAACUACCACAACCCUGUUAUAUUUCACGCACACUAAACUUUAUCCACUGUAACAAUGAAAUAACAAAACUAAUUUUUUCACGUGAAGUAACUGAACUUUGUCUACUAUAAUAGUAGCAUCACUAACUUUCACAUGGAUAAUAUGUACCAUCACUAAACUUUAUCCACUGUAACAAUAAAAUAACAAAACUAAUUUUUUCACAUGAAGUAACUGAACUUUAUCUACUAUAAUAGUAACAUCGCUAACUUUCACAUGGAUAAUAUGCAGGGAGAUUGGCAAUGUUGGCAUUUUUGGGAUUCAUAGUGCAGCACAAUGUAGUAGGAAAGGGACCCUUUGACAACCUUCUGCAGCACCUCUCAGACCCAUGGCACAACACCAUUGUUCAAACACUCAGCAACUAGAAAACCUCGUGGAAACUGGAUUGAAUAUAUUGUUACCCUUGUAACCAUGUUAUGGUUUUUGAUCAAGAAUAGAGCUUUGUGGUAAACAAGGAACCUUUAAUGUACAGGGCAUUUAAAAUUGCAUGUCUUAUUCGUGUUAUUCCCAAUAGAUCAUCAGUAUAUAAAGAGGAAGAAAAGCCCCCUUUAGCUAGUUCUCGAUUCUCAUCGAGAGUUGGAUUUGGUAUAAGGGAAAAGCUUUCUUGUAGUAGUUCAGUUUGCAUCUGAAUUGCAGAAGAAAUCCUCGUAAUUUAUUGAAGCAAAGUGAAAUAAGUCUUGGUCUCAAAUCUCAUAUAUGAGCAAGCUCUUAUACUAAAUAUACAGCUCAGAGCACAAAACCUAUAACCAUUUGAACAUAAUUAUCUACGAACAGCAACUGCACCUGUAAAUAUAACCUCACUCCCUAUGAAGAGUUCUUUGAGCCCCAGAAAACACAAGUUUUGCUACAUCUCGGCUGUUCAAUCACGUGAACAGUUCCCUUGCUGCAGGAAAUAGAUACAAAAACCAAAUGAAACCAAGUAAGAGAUGUUAGACCAGACAGGAUCAAUUAAAUGACAGUAUAUUGAAGAUGAGAUUUCCUUUAGUGGAGUAAUAUAAAAUUUGAAUUCAGCAUAUUCAACUAACACAAAGAUGGUAACAUGCGCGAGUCAGAUAAAUUCAAUAUGUAAGAUUGAACAAUUAAACAUCAUUGCUCCAUUGAUUAACUGUCCAGCAGAGAUGAGAAAUAACCUUAGAAUGUUUACGGGUAAAAUUACCUGCGGAUAUGAUAUUUCAUCCAAAAUUGGAGCUGCAGAGGCACCAGCUGCACUAUCCCAGGAAUUAUUGACAGAAUCCACAUAUCUAGGCAGAUUAAAAUUUCUUUGAGUUUCAUAAUCCAUCAAAUAUCCUCUCAUAUCUGCCUCACUCUGAGGAUCCAAACUUGUCCCUUCCAGCAGAUUAAGAUUAUUGUUUGGAUAGUACGAAUAUGGCUCGUUAGUUGCUGUCUCAAGCAUGCUAUACUAUUUAAAUCAUCCCAAACAGUGUCAUCUAGUCUUGCUCGGUCAAGCUCCAGUUCUUUUCCAGAGUCCAAAACAUGAGAACAUUCUGCACCAGAUGCAUCCCCGGAGGACCCCAUAUCUCUACAAAGAAACAAUGGUCAUCAUUUGAUUGUAAGAAUUUCUAAAGCUGUUCCAGGCAUGGUAAUUGGUAAAUAAAUUAAGACAUUGAAGUACCAAUAUGAUUUUAAGGACAGCAAUUACCAAAAUCCAGCAACUUCAAGGGGGAAAUGAUAAGAUUGUAAAAGUCGAAUGAAGUAAAGAUGCUGACCAAAUAGAGUCUAAUACUCACCCUUGUGUUAGAAAGUUUGGCGCCUCAGGGAAUGGCAUGUGCUGGCUUUUAUUUUCCGGAUGACAUGUAAGGGUCUGCUCGUCCUGUCCACUGCCCAUCAGAAGAUGCAAACACGCCAUGUUCUGGAGAUGUUAUACGAAAUUCAAGUGCAAAAGCUAUUUAUACAGUUUACACUGCUUUUUCCUAACAGCAAAAGCAAGAGACUAAAAUAGAAACAGAAGAACAAGGGGAGGAAGGGCAAGAGGAAGAGCAGUCCCCAUUCCCAAAAUCCAUAUUGAGGCAAAAGUAUAUAACCCAUCAACAGUAUGACUGUUUUCUAAAAACUUGUUGCUGCACUAGGAUCACCAAUUACGAUCAAAACCAAAUACUUCAGUAUUAAUCCAGCUUUCGGAAAGAUCCCAUGCAUUACCUUCCCUGCAUGAAUUGCAUUAAGUGACUCCCUUAGUUUGCACUCCAUCUGCAUAAGAUGUUCCACCUUAUUUAUCUUAUCAGAUACUCCACCAGCUACAACCAUGCGGAGGAGUAAGGUCAAUAAAAUAUGAAUCAUGACAUAAGUCACUUAAACCAUAUGAUCUAGUUCCAAUGCAUAGUAACUCAAUCAAUGAAGCAGCAUACGUGGAUUAAAAUUAAAUCAACUGAUGGGCCUAUAACAGUGGCGGAAGCACGUGGUUUCAAGUGAACCUGCUUCAUCAAAAAAUAAUACUGUAUAUAUGUACAAAUUAGGAUUAAAGCUGCGUAAAUUUUGUAUAGAUAUUUUAUUUGAACCCACUUGACAGCUACUCCCUCCGGUCCAAAAUAAGUGACUUUUUAGAUGUUUUCACAAAGAUUAAGAAAUUUACCUUUUAGCAUUAAUUAGCAAUGGAAUUGACCAUAUUAACAUUUACUAUCUCACAUAAACACUCCUAACAUGUAUUCCAACACUAUUUACUCCAAGGACAAUGUAGGAAAAAAAUAAUUAAUUCACUCUUGAAAUCCGGAAAAAUGACUUAUUUUGGACCACAAAAAAAUGCCAAAUAAUCACUUAUUUUGGACCGGAGGGAGUACUAUUUUAUGACUAAAGUUAUAUACUUCUAAGAUUGAACCCGCUUGUACAAGGGUCCAUCACUGCCCUAUAAUCAUACAAAAUGCUAUUAGUUGCGUAAAGAUGUCCAAUAAAAGUGUCCAAACAAGAAAAUUUAUUAGAUAUUCCUCAAAAGUUUCUUCAAAUACAUUAAAAAAAGCAAAUGCAAAAUUAUGAUUGCUCAUUUUAUUUCAGCAGUUGAUAUGUCAAUUUAUGGCAACAUUUCAACACCAAAAAUGAAAAAUGAAAAACAAAGGAAUGCAAAACUCUACCUGAGUCUCUUUUCUACAUCAGUAAGCCGAGAUUGCAAGACUUUCACUUGGUUGUGCAAUUCCUGUCAGCAUAAUUAUUAAAAACAAUUAUAUACAAAACUUGAGUGUUACAACAGAAGCCAAAAUGGUGUUGACAGAGUAAUAUACUGAAUACCUCAACUGAUGGAUCACUGCAACAGAAAGAAAAAAGGGGGAAAAGACAAGGUAAAUUGUUAACAUGAUGCUUUACAAACUUGUAAACGAGAACCACUCUUUUUGAUAGGUACAAAUUUGAAAGAAAAGAUCCUCAAAUUGAUCAAAGCUACAUACCUAGCAUCUAGAAACUCUUGCACACCUACAUCGUGGUCAAGCUUGAAAGUCUUCCUUAACGUCUGUAAUGUAAUCAUUAGCAUUGUGAUUACAUUCAACUGGAUUAGAGAAAGUGGAAAAAUCAGAUUGGUGAUGAAUAUCAAACUUACUUCAAGGCUCUCCAACUUCCUGUUUUAAGUUCAAGAUGAACAGAAAACUGGUCAUUUAGCUUCUGUAUCUUACUCUUAGAUGAGACUAAUCCAAAUAGGCCAGACUGUUUUUUGUACCUUUUUGCCCUUUCUUGAGGAGUCGAUUGAGCAAAUUUUGCAAUUAUUUCAUCAAAAUUGCUGAAGACAUGCAACAGAUAUUAGGUAAUGAAUAAUCCUAUAGUUCACCUUAAAUGAUGAAGAACCUGCGGUUAGCUAAUGACGAUCAAUAGAACACAACUAAAUCACCAUACAAGAUUAACUGUGAUUAAAGGCUAGUAGUAAAAAACAGCAAUUAACGCCUUCCUUCUGCACUUUGAAAAUAGAUGUCACUCGGUACAUCCAUUUAGAAGAUCAUAGUCUGGAGGAGUAAAGACUCUUCAUACCAGGUAACUUAAAAUGAGAACAUCGCUCAAUUUGACCAUUGCAUGCCCGGUGCACGACGCUAGAAGUUUGGGAACUUGCUAAAGAUAGAGUACAGUCACCAUUCACCAAUAGGCAAUAAAGUAACCUCAUUACAUACAAGCAGCUCUUCAAUUUUUCAGUUAGCUUUUAUUCGCACACAUACCAUUAACAUCCUGAAUUUGCCUCUUAUGAGACUUAAUUGAGACCGCCCAAAAUAUAACACGCUUCAAACUUAAUACUGUUGCAAUUCUGUUCAAAAGAAAAAUGUACAAAAAAGCAAAUACAAAUUAAUUUGAUCGGCCAAAAUUAAUUACCUUCACUAGCAAAAAGAAAAUAUAAAAUGAAUAUGUAUAUAUAAAAAAUACAUAUUUUAUCGAUUGUUAUUUUUAGGAGUGACUUAAAAUAUACAUUUUCAAUUAAAUACGCGAUAAAAACUUAUCCGCCCGGAGAAUGUAUUUGCAGAUAUAUCCAUUUUGGUUAACCAUGAUUAAUUAGAGUUAUUUUUCCCUUGUAAAUAAUUUUAUCAUAGUAAGUCAAUACGGUUUGGUACAAACAAUAAAUGCCGAGUGACAAUUAAGAAUAUGUUUGAAAGGUGUUGUGUUUGCUGUUUUCACACAAGCGGACAUCACAAACCAGCAGCGCAUUAACUUGUACUGGGUACUCCCUCCGGUUAGAAUAAGUAAUUUUUCUAUGUUUUCACACAGAUUAAAGAUUUUAGCUUUUAGUAUUAAUUAACAAUAAAUAAUAUUGAUCAUAUUAAUUUUUAUUAUCUCACAUAAAUACUCUUAACACAUAUUCCAACAUUAUUUACUCCAAGAACAGUGUAGGAAAAAAUAAUUAAUUCACUCUUGAAAUCUGAAAAAAUCACUUAUUUUGGACCACAAAAAAAAAA